GGUCUAGGCGGGAUGGUCAGUCAGAUGUGAAAUUUCAGAGCUCAACUCUGGAGCUGCAUUUGAAACUGCCAUUCUUGAGGAUAAUCGGAGAAAGUAGAAUUCCACAAGUAGCGGUGAAAUGCGUAGAUAUGUGGAGGAAUACCAGUGGCGAAGGCGACUUUCUAGAUUAUUCCUGACGCUAAAGCCCGAAAGCAAGGGGAGCAAACAGGAUUAGAUACCCUGGUAGUCC
rnacentral:rRNA from 1 species